rnacentral:rRNA from 1 species
AGUGAACGCUGGCGGUAGGCCUAACACAUGCAAGUCGAACGGCAGCACAGGAGAGCUUGCUCUCUGGGUGGCGAGUGGCGGACGGGUGAGGAAUACCUCGGAAUCUACUUUUUCGUGGGGGAUAACGUAGGGAAACUUACGCUAAUACCGCAUACGACCUACGGGUGAAAGCAGGGGAUCGUCGGACCUUGCGCGAUUGACUGAGCAGAUGUCGGAUUAGCGAGUUGGCGGGGUAAAGGCCAACCUAGGCGACGAUCCGUAGCUGGUCUGAGAGGAUGAUCAGCCACACUGGAACUGAGACACGGUCCAGACUCCUACGGGAGGCAGCAGUGGGGAAUAUUGGACAAUGGGCGCAAGCCUGAUCCAGCCAUACCGCGUGGGUGAAGAAGGCCUUCGGGUUGUAAAGCCCUUUUGUUGGGAAAGAAAUCCAGCUGGUUAAUACCCGGUUGGGAUGACGGUACCCAAAGAAUAAGCACCGGCUAACUUCGUGCCAGCCGCCGCAGUAA